rnacentral:rRNA from 1 species
AUACCGCAUAAGCCCACGGGUCGGCAUCGACCAGAGGGAAAAGGAGCAAUCCGCUNUGAGAUGGCCUCGCGUCCGAUUAGCUAGUUGGUGAGGUAACGGCCCACCAAGGCAACGAUCGGUAGCCGGACUGAGAGGUUGAACGGCCACAUUGGGACUGAGACACGGCCCAGACUCCUACGGGAGGCAGCAGUGGGGAAUAUUGCACAAUGGGGGAAACCCUGAUGCAGCGACGCCGCGUGGAGGAAGAAGGUCUUCGGAUUGUAAACUCCUGUUGUUGAGGAAGAUAAUGACGGUACUCAACAAGGAAGUGACGGCUAACUACGUGCCAGCAGCCGCGGUAAAACGUAGGUCACAAGCGUUGUCCGGAAUUACUGGGUGUAAAGGGAGCGCAGGCGGGAAGACAAGUUGGAAGUGAAAUCCAUGGGCUCAACCCAUGAACUGCUUUCAAAACUGUUUUUCUUGAGUAGUGCAGAGGUAGGCGGAAUUCCCGGUGUAGCGGUGGAAUGCGUAGAUAUCGGGAGGAACACCAGUGGCGAAGGCGGCCUACUGGGCACCAACUGACGCUGAGGCUCGAAAGUGUGGGUAGCAAACAGGAUUAGAUACCCUGGUAGUCCACACCGUAAACGAUGAAUUACUAGGUGUUGGAGGAUUGACCCCUUCAGUGGCGGCAGUUAACACAAUAAGUAAUCCACCUGGGGAGUACGACCGCAAGGUUGAAACUCAAAGGAAUUGACGGGGGCCCGCACAAGCAGUGGAGUAUGUGGUUUAAUUCGACGCAACGCGAAGAACCUUACCAAGUCUUGACAUCCUGCGACGAUGCUGGAAACAGUAUUUUCCUUCGGGACGCAGAGACAGGUGGUGCAUGGUUGUCGUCAGCUCGUGUCGUGAGAUGUUGGGUUAAGUCCCGCAACGAGCGCAACCCUUAUGGUCAGUUACUACGCAAGAGGACUCUGGCCAGACUGCCGUUGACAAAACGGAGGAAGGUGGGGAUGACGUCAAAUCAUCAUGCCCUUUAUGACAUGGGCUACACACGUACUACAAUGGCGUUAAACAAAGAGAAGCAAGACCGCGAGGUGGAGCAAAACUCAGAAACAACGUCCCAGUUCGGACUGCAGGCUGCAACUCGCCUGCACGAAGUCGGAAUUGCUAGUAAUCGUGGAUCAGCAUGCCACGGUGAAUACGUUCCCGGGCCUUGCACA